rnacentral:rRNA from 1 species
GGGGAAUAUUGCACAAUGGGCGCAAGCCUGAUGCAGCGACGCCGCGUGAGGGAUGACGGCCUUCGGGUUGUAAACCUCUUUCAGUGCCGACGAAGCGGAAGUGACGGUAGGCACAGAAGAAGGACCGGCCAACUACGUGCCAGCAGCCGCGGUAAUACGUAGGGUCCGAGCGUUGUCCGGAAUUACUGGGCGUAAAGAGCUCGUAGGUGGUUUGUCGCGUUGUCCGUGAAAACUCACAGCUUAACUGUGGGCGUGCGGGCGAUACGGGCAGACUAGAGUACUGCAGGGGAGACUGGAAUUCCUGGUGUAGCGGUGGAAUGCGCAGAUAUCAGGAGGAACACCGGUGGCGAAGGCGGGUCUCUGGGCAGUAACUGACGCUGAGGAGCGAAAGCGUGAGGAGCGAAC